GCUCCCUCCCACCGCCGCCGCCGCCGCCCCGGCCUUGCCCGCCUCCUUUAUACGGACGGAGGCGCCCGAGGUUGGGGGGCCGCCGGGCCCGCCUUUCCCUCCCCUGCGCCGUGGGGCGAAGGGGGUCCCGCGGCUGGGCUGAGGCUCAUCGGUUGAGGAGAACGCGUUGCAUCCCCCAGUGACUUCCUAGGUCUCACAUAGACUGAGAAGGAAGAGGCUGAUGAAGAAGAGAACGUCGACGAAGGAGGAGAAUGGCCCACGGGACCUAGGUCCCAACCAGUCGUUCAGUGGAACAAAACCUUGGGCUUUGUUCUGAAGAAAUACGAGCUGCUAGGUGAAGAUGAUAGUUGGACUGACUUCUCCACUGAGAUUUAUAAACCUCUCUUAUGAAGCAUUUAUAUGAAACACUUCAUAAUCCACCAAUCCUGCCAUUCACUAGAAUCGGAGAGAGGGAUUUUUCCUCUAGGUGAAGGCAGCCAAAGACAUUCCACACAUCUGCCAUCAACACGUGUGUAUGUGCAAUCUCCACAGUGGAGGUAACAAGAAUAAUUUUGUUUCGUGCAGUUCUUAAUAACCUAUAGUCAUUCUUCAUUACUUGAGGGUCUUAAGUAUAUUACCUCAACUGGUAUGAAACUCAUGUUUCACAAUGGCCUCUGCUAGCAUUCCUCUUCUGGUUAAUACCUGAUAAACACAGCACAUUGCUCUCCUAGCUUUCUGCUGGCAUUUGGAUUUAAACAAAGCAAAACUCAAUAAACCUUACACAUUUCCACUCGGUUUCACACAUUAGUUUCAUAUGUUUCAAUACAUGAUAAAGAUUCAGAUUCACUCAAAAUGUCCAUGUAUUUGGAUUGGUUUGAGUUUAAACUGAAACAUCAAAUGAGACAAAUUUUGCAUGGCCUCAGGUUUUUUUUUACUGCAAAUGCUAUAUGCAGCUUGAUUCUGCCUGCUGGGUACCGUGAGCAGUAAUUAGUUAUUUUUUUGAAAAUGCCCGGAAGAUGUAAUGCAAGAACAUUCGCUAACUUUGGGACCUUAGGGAAUGCAUUUUGCCCUUUAUCAGUUUCAUAGCUUGUGUUCACUAACUAUAAUACCAUGACAAUACACUAUUCAUCUUGCUGUGCAGUUUUAAGAUCUUUGGGUGGAUUCUGUCAUCUCAGCCCAGAAUUUCACAAGUGAGUAGAAGGAUGUAUGCUGACCAGUGUGCAGAUUCUUUGGGGGACAGAGCAGACAAUGCCUUUUUUUUUUGAGUAGCUAGUCGAUAUUUUGAAUCUUUCCUUGAAACCGUGGCCCUCAAAUCUUUCUACUCCAUAUUUUUCAAACUUAGAACAAAAAUGUUAAUUGUUUCUCUUGGGGUGCUUUUGCUGAGAUUUAUCAGUGUUGUAUUGAUGGAAAAAUUACUUAUCCACUUAUUUUGCUCAACGCUUUUCUUUCGAAUAGCAUAGUGGGAACAGUGUUCACUGUUACUGAUGGCAGAACAGCACUCAGUGGUUAAACUUGUCAGCCAACUGAAGCCAGGGAAUCCAAGCCAGCAUUCCCCUUUACAUACAUUUUAUCUUGUGUUCCUCCAUUAGUAACAAUUUGUCACAUGUUUAUCAUGCAGUCUUUAAUUGGUUUAUUAUUUUAUCCAUAUGCCAAGUACAUUCUCAAGCUCCA